CUCCACCACCACAUAGGCCAACAGGGAGGCUGGGGCCUCCGAAUCUGGUGACCUCGGCCUUCCCACUGGUCAAUCCGGCUAGUCGC
rnacentral:pre_miRNA from 1 species